UAAUGGCGGCAUACAGGCUUCCUCCUACACCCCUGCCUUGUAAGACAGCUGUCCCUCAUGAAAACAGCAUUUAUCUUCACAACCUUGAUUCCCACACAAGGCAGCACUUUGCCCUUCUCUCAGAAGCUGAAUCCCAGGUUCUGAAAGCACAGGACUGAAGAUGAUUUCCCAGUCUUGGAUCCCAGAUUUUCCAGAGCUUCAGGAUACAGUGAAAUGGGGAUAUGAUCCUUUGUUGUGGUGUCCAUACCUGUGAGACGGGCACUGUUGUACUAUCCUGUUUGUCAAGCAUGGCUUCACUUGCUACCUGGAACAGAAUGACUUGGAGAAACAGCUGAAACAGUUGAUCAUUGCCCUUAACAACCUGCUGACUGCCACCUGCUUAUGUAAAAUCUUGCUAGCUUGCCCACCCCACCUUGUGGUUUUAAAGUAUAAAAUGAGAAUGCAAACUAGUAGCAAUAUUAAAGCCUUUC